rnacentral:misc_RNA from 1 species
CAGAGUUCGUGCCCUCACGGGUAGAUCUCCCACCCCUAUGUUAUUGUAUUCCUUGUUGCUUUGGCAGGCCGCCGGGCCACGGCCAGGCUAUCGGCUUUGGCUGAUAAGCGCCUGCCAGAGGAUCCUAAACUCUGAAUAUUUAGUGUUGUCCGAGUACUAUAUAAUAGUUA